rnacentral:rRNA from 1 species
UGGCGGACGGGUGAGUAACGCGUGGGUAACCUGCCUUAUACAGGGGGAUAACAACCAGAAAUGGUUGCUAAUACCGCAUAAGCGCACAGGACCGCAUGGUCCGGUGUGAAAAACUCCGGUGGUAUAAGAUGGACCCGCGUUGGAUUAGCUAGUUGGCAGGGGAACGGCCUACCAAGGCGACGAUCCAUAGCCGGCCUGAGAGGGUGAACGGCCACAUUGGGACUGAGACACGGCCCAG